rnacentral:rRNA from 1 species
CACGGGGGGAGCAAGUGUUACUCAUCGUAACUGGGCGUAAAGGGUGUGUAGGUGGUUUAUUAAGUCUAAAUUAAAAAAUCUAAGCGUAACUUAGAAAUUAAUUUUUAUACUAAUAAACUAGAGGGCAGGAGAAGUUUGUUUUAUUUUUAGUGGAAAAGUGAAAUUUUAAGAUACUAAGAGGAGGUUCAAUUGGCGAAAGCAACAAACUAAAAUGUUACUGACACUGAGGCACAAAAGCAUGGGUAUCAAA